rnacentral:rRNA from 1 species
CCUACGGGAGGCAGCAGUGGGGAAUAUUGCACAAUGGGGGAAACCCUGAUGCAGCGACGCCGCGUGAGUGAAGAAGGAUUUCUGUAUGUAAAGCUCUAUCAGCAGGGAAGAAAAUGACGAUACCUGAUUAAGAAGCCCCGGCUAACUACGUGCCAGCAGCCGCGGUAAUACGUAGGGGGCAAGCGUUAUCCGGAUUUACUGGGUGUAAAGGGGGCGUAGACGGCAGGGCAAGUCUGAAGUGAAAUGCCGGGGCUUAACCCCGGAACUGCUUUGGAAACUGUGCAGCUAGAGUGCAGGAGGGGUAAGUGGAAUUCCUAGUGUAGCGGUGAAAUGCGUAGAUAUCAGGAGGAACACCAGUGGCGAAGGCGGCUUACUGGACUGUAACUGACGUUGAGGCUCGAAAGCGUGGGGAGCAAACAGGAUUAGAUACCCGAGUAGUC